UAGACGGAGAGUUUGAUCCUGGCUCAGGGUUAACGCUGGCGGCGCGCCUGAUACAUGCAAGUCGAGCGAGGGCUCAUUUCUCGCAAGAGAGAUGGGUUCCUAGCGGCGAACGGGUGAGUAACACGUGGGCAACCUUUCCCAAAGUGGGGGAUAACAUCGAGAAAUCGGUGCUAAUACCGCAUGUGGUCAUCGAAGACAUCUUCGAUGAGAAAAGCAGCAAUGCGCUUUGGGGUGGGCCCGCGGCCUAUCAGCUAGUUGGUGGGGUAACGGCCUACCAAGGCAUUGACGGGUAGCUGGUCUGAGAGGACGACCAGCCACACGGGGACUGAGACACGGCCCCGACUCCUACGGGAGGCAGCAGUAAGGAAUCUUCCGCAAUGGGCGAAAGCCUGACGGAGCGACGCCGCGUGUGGGAUGAAGUCUUUCGGGAUGUAAACCACUGUCGGAGGGGAAGAGAACGGACGGUACCCUCCAAGAAAGCCCCGGCUAACUACGUGCCAGCAGCCGCGGUAAUACGUAGGGGGCAAGCGUUACUCGGAUUUACUGGGCGUAAAGCGCGUGUAGGCGGCUGGUCAAGAGUGAUGUGAAAUCUCCGGGCUCAACCCGGAAACUGCAUCGCUAACUGGCCUGGCUAGAGUGCAGGAGAGGGCAGUGGAAUUCACGGUGUAGCGGUGGAAUGCGUAGAUAUCGUGAGGAACACCAGUGGCGAAGGCGACUGCCUGGCCUGUAACUGACGCUGAGACGCGAAAGCGUGGGGAGCGAACCGGAUUAGAUACCCGGGUAGUCCACGCCCUAAACGUUGCGAACUAGGUGUUGGCGAGAUUGACCUCGUCAGUGCCGCAGCUAACGCAUUAAGUUCGCCGCCUGGGAAGUACGGUCGCAAGAUUAAAACUCAAAGGAAUAGGCGGGGGCCCGCACAAGCAGCGGAGCGUGUGGUUUAAUUCGAUGCAACGCGAAGAACCUUACCUGGGUUUGACAUGUUUCAGUAACUCCGGCGAAAGCCGGGGCCCCUCGCAAGAGGCUGUUGCACAGGUGGUGCAUGGCUGUCGUCAGCUCGUGCCGUGAGGUGUUGGGUUAAGUCCCGCAACGAGCGCAACCCCUGUCCUUAGUUGAUUUUCUAAGGAGACUGCCGGGCGAAACCCGGAGGAAGGUGGGGAUGACGUCAAGUCAGCAUGCCCUUUAUAUCCAGGGCUACACACACGCUACAAUGGCCGGUACAACGGGUUCCGACACGGCGACGUGAAGGUAAUCCCUUAAAGCCGGUCUCAGUUCGGAUUGCAGGCUGCAACUCGCCUGCAUGAAGUUGGAGUUGCUAGUAACCGCAGGUCAGCACACUGCGGUGAAUACGUUCCCGGGCCUUGCACUCACCGCCCGUCACAUCACCCGAGUCUGGUGCUCCCGAAGUCGCUGGCCGAACCCGAAAGGGACGGAGGUGCCGAAGGAGUGCCCGGUGAGGGGGGUGAAGUCGUAACAAGGUAGCCGUACCGGAAGGUGUGGCUGGAUCACCUCCUUU
rnacentral:rRNA from 1 species